GUGCCAGCAGCCGCGGUAAUACGGGGAUGGCGAGCGUUACUCGGAUUUACUGGGUGUAAAGGGCAGGUAGGCGGCUCUGAAAGUUGAAGGUGAAAUGCUCUGACUCAAUCAGAGAACUGCCUUCAAAACUACAGGGCUUGAGGAUUUGAGAGGAGAGCGGAAUUCCCGGUGUAAGGGUGAAAUCUGUAGAUAUCGGGAGGAACACCCGUGGCGAAAGCGGCUCUCUGGCAAAUCCCUGACGCUGAGCUGCGAAAGCUAGGGGAGCAAACAGGAUUAGAAACCCCUGUAGUCC
rnacentral:rRNA from 1 species